CGUAACCUAGCUUCCAAGAACAGCAGCGCUGAAGCGAGGAAAUCGGUGCUGCAGCCUUGAGACUAAAGAAUCGGAAGAUCUGUGAGGAAGGCUUGUGACGAAGGAAUCGGAGACUCUCCUGCAAGGAAGCUUCCUCUUCCCGUAACAGAAACGCCAGCCACAGCUAGAAAUAAGGGUCGUGGUGCAGAUUGAGGAUUCGCGGUUUUCGACUGGGAGUAACACGCAAAAGCUGGAAGUGUUGAUUGGUGAGUUUCCGCACGAUAGGAGCUAGAGAUUCAACCGUCAAAGACUGGAUCAAAGUUCGCUGGAGCUAUGGUGAUCGGCUGGGGCAGAAAGCAGUGAAUCGCAAGGCUCGACGACGAGUUGAAGCUUCGGAAGUGUUAGGUUGUUAAGCUGCCACUUAUUUCGUUAACUUCCCGUUACUCUUGUUCUCUGAAUUCAUUUUGAAAUUAUAAUCACCUACAUGCAUUUAGCUAUUGAUUAAGAUUACUACUGCAUGCGUCUGAAUUCAGUAAUUGUUACUAUUGUUCAUUAUAGCCAAAAAUACUUUACAACACUCAGCAUUGUUAACUUGUGGUUAAGGUUGGGUAAUCACUUUUCAUUGUCUCAACACAGAUAUUGCUUAACGGUGAUUCAAAUAAAGAGGAUCAGAUUCCAACAGAUGGAUGAGCUGCCGUUGGUGCGAUAAUAUGGUAGCUUUCUGACCAUUGAUGAUGCGAUAGGACAAAUUAUUGCUUGGCCAUCAUUUUUCGUAAGUAGAGUAAUUAUUGUUUUUGUAAUUAUUAAGAAGUUAAUUGAAGUUUUAACUGAAAUCGGAAUAUGACAACUGGUGAAGAAGAUAUUUUUUUAAGAGUGAGAUUAGAGCUACUCUCUAUGAAGUAUUAUAGUUUUAAAUUGAACAUUUGUCAUUUUUUGUUGAACUUUGUAUUGGGAUGUUUUACACUUUUUAGUUAUUUCAUAUAAUUUUGGAUUAUUUUAUAAUAUCAAG
rnacentral:lncRNA from 1 species